rnacentral:rRNA from 1 species
AGGACGAACGCUGGCGGCGUGCUUAACACAUGCAAGUCGAGCGGAAAGGCCCUUCGGGGUACUCGAGCGGCGAACGGGUGAGUAACACGUGAGUAACCUGCCCCUAGCUUCGGGAUAGCUCCGGGAAACCGGAAUUAAAUACCGGAUAUGACCACGGCCGACAUCGGCCACGGUGGAAAGAUUCAUCGGCUAGGGAUGGGCUCGCGGCCUAUCAGCUUGUUGGUGGGGUAACAGCCUACCAAGGCGACGACGGGUA